ACCUUAUCAAGAGAGGCGGAGGGACUGGCCCGAUGAAGCCCGGCAACCACUGUACCCCGGUACAGAAAGGUGCCAAUUCCUGCAAAACCCGUGGGUUUUGACAGAUGAGGA
rnacentral:ncRNA from 2 species